rnacentral:misc_RNA from 1 species
AGAACAUUCAGAGGAUGUUUUUGAACGUAGAGCCGCUGAAGAUGUUGAGCAAUAUGGGAGGAGAAUAUAUGAUCAUGUUUUUGGUUACAACAUUGAAGUGGCAUUACGUAAUGAAGAAACGUGGAAGAACCGCAACAAGCCUAGGCCUGUCUACAGCAAAGAUGUAUUGCCACCAAAACCAGUUGGACAGAAUGGUAACAAGGAUAAAGCUUCAAACACCGGUGACCCCUCUUCAGUCUCUGCAAUGUCAUCUCUAGGCCUCAAAAAUCCUCAGGAUCUGU